rnacentral:lncRNA from 10 species
AGUGGCACGAUCACAGCUCACUGCAGCCACAUUCUCCUAAGCUCUGGAAGAUCCUCCCACUUCAGCCUCCUGAGUAGCUGAGACUACAGGCACGCACAACUAUGCUUGGCUAAUUUUUGUAAAUUAGCCAAGACAGGGUUUUGCCAUGUUGCCCAGGCUGGUCUUGAACUUGUGAGCUCAAGAGAUCUGCCCGCCUCAGCCUCUCAAAGUGGGAUUACAGACGUGAGCCUCUGCAGCCAGCCAACUUUCUUCUUAAAUAGCCCAGAUCCAUUGACCACAAGGGUUGGUUGCGAGGAUUAAAGCAGAGGGAACUUCAUUAUCAUGUGGAUUGAAGAUUGAAACUGGCCUGUUCGAGGAAAUUGGCUGUUAUCUCUUUCUCCUGCCUUCUAGGAAGGGUCUCACUCUGUCACCC